UCCACCCGGGAGGGGCCGCACCAGGGCGUGAACUCUUGGGGUGUGGCUCUCCAACCCUCUUUCGAAAUGUUACCUUGAAUACCAGAGCUCAGAGCAGAAACCACCAGCCCACUGUGGCAGCAGAGGGGCCUAUGGCUGGGGCUGUGGGAACAGGGAAGCUGCACCCAGGGCCCCACCCACAGACACCGUUGCUUACCCUGCCUGGUUUACAGGUCAGUGAAGGGAGUGGCUGCCCUUGUGCUCAGCCCGGUCUUUGUCCCAUUAUUUUCUCCAUUUGUUCUGCUGAAGAGAGCCAGGAGGCAGUGAAGUGGCCCCUCCAAGGUCAAGGCAGCAUGCAAACCCCACCUGCCCACUGAGCCCAUCGUUUCUUUUAUCACAAUGGGUUUCAAGCAGGAAGAUUGCCCUGUCCUGAGGACAGCACAGCCAGCUUCAUGGGCACUUGACAUGAAAACCUCCAGUGGCCUCAGUACCCAGCCAUCCUGGUGGUCCUUUGGAUAGCACUUGCUUCAUGAGGCUGUACAAUGGUCUAAUAAGAGGGCAGAGGCAAUUCGUGGUGAGCCCUUUAUCCCCAGGGGCAGCUCCUGGCAGGACAGCAGGAAAAGCAGUCAUCGCUGUGCUGAGCACUCGGGAAACCUCAGAUGACUCGUCCCCAUGGAAAGCAAGCCACUUCCUGCCAUGUUAAAGGAGACUGCACUGAUCUUCAAACCCAGCGAGUAGUGACAUGGGUCUGUCAGCUAGUGUUAGGGAUGGUGUAGUUAUUUUUAGUGAAGGACACAGGAAGCCAGAUAAAAGAGACAUUCAGAAGGGAGAGAAUUCUGGAAAUUCAUCACAUUUUGGAGAUUCCUUAAAAUAAUAAGCUUGCAAUAAAACUAUUU